rnacentral:rRNA from 1 species
GAUGAACGCUGGCGGCGUGCCUAAUACAUGCAAGUCGAGCGAACAGACGAGGAGCGUGCUCCUCUGACGUUAGCGGCGGACGGGUGAGUAACACGUGGAUAACCUAGCUAUUAGACUUGGGUAACUUCGGCAAACCGUAGUUACUGCCGGGUAAUAUAUUGAACGUCAUGGUUCAAUAGUGAAAUACGGUUUUGCUGUCACUUAUAGAUAUAUCCGCGGCGCAUUAGCUAGUUGGUAAGGUAACGGCUUACCAAGGCAGCGAUGCGUAGCCGAGCUGAGAGGGUGAUCGGCCACAGUGGAGCUGAGCCGCGAUCCAGACUCUGACGGGAGGCAGAAGUAGGGAAUCUUGCGCAAUGGGCGGAAGCUUGACGGAGCAACGCCGCGUGGGUGAUGAAGGGCUUCGGAUCGUAAAACUCUGUUAUUAUGGAAGAACAAAUGUGUAAGUAACUAUGCACGUCUUGACGGUACCUAAACAGAAAGCCACGGCUAACUACGUG